UCAUUACUCCCUCCGUCCGGAAAUACUUGUCAUCAAAAUGGAUAAAAGAGGAUGUAUCUAGACGUAUUUUAGUUUUAGAUACAUCUCUUUUUAUCUAUUUUGAUGACAAGUAUUUUCGGACGGAGGGAGUAACAG
rnacentral:pre_miRNA from 1 species